rnacentral:rRNA from 1 species
AACGAACGCUGGCGGCAUGCCUAACACAUGCAAGUCGAACGAGACCUUCGGGUCUAGUGGCGCACGGGUGCGUAACGCGUGGGAACCUGCCCUUAGGUUCGGAAUAACUCCCCGAAAGGGGUGCUAAUACCGGUUAAUUUCUUCGGACCAAAGAUUUAUCGCCUUUGGAUGGGCCCGCGUUGGAUUAGCUAGUUGGUAGGGUAAAAGCCUACCAAGGCGACGAUCCAUAGCUGGUCUGAGAGGAUGAUCAGCCACACUGGGACUGAGACACGGCCCAGACUCCUACGGGAGGCAGCAGUGGGGAAUAUUGGACAAUGGGCGAAAGCCUGAUCCAGCAAUGCCGCGUGAGUGAUGAAGGCCUUAGGGUUGUAAAGCUCUUUUACCCGGGAUGAUAAUGACAGUACCGGGAGAAUAAGCUCCGGCUAACUCCGUG